rnacentral:rRNA from 1 species
GAUGAACGCUGGCGGCGUGCUUAACACAUGCAAGUCGAACGAAGCACCUUAUUCUGAUUUCUUCGGAAUGAAAAAUUUGGUGACUGAGUGGCGGACGGGUGAGUAACGCGUGGGUAACCUGCCUCAUACAGGGGGAUAACAGUUAGAAAUGACUGCUAAUACCGCAUAAGACCACAGCACCGCAUGGUGCAGGGGUAAAAACUCCGGUGGUAUGAGAUGGACCCGCGUCUGAUUAGGUAGUUGGUGGGGUAACGGCCUACCAAGCCGACGAUCAGUAGCCGACCUGAGAGGGUGACCGGCCACAUUGGGACUGAGACACGGCCCAAACUCCUACGGGAGGCAGCAGUGGGGAAUAUUGCACAAUGGGGGAAACCCUGAUGCAGCGACGCCGCGUGAGCGAUGAAGUAUUUCGGUAUGUAAAGCUCUAUCAGCAGGGAAGAAAAUGACGG